rnacentral:misc_RNA from 1 species
CGCUCGUUACCGAACGACUGCCGUCGUCGCUUCGGGCGUCGUCCGAUCCUUCGGGUUCGAACGUGCCCGUGCCGCGCCGGCGUCGGUGAGGAAUGC